rnacentral:rRNA from 1 species
GACGAACGCUGGCGGCGUGCUUAACACAUGCAAGUCGAACGGAAAGGCCCUGCUUUUGUGGGGUGCUCGAGUGGCGAACGGGUGAGUAACACGUGAGUAACCUGCCCUUGACUUUGGGAUAACUUCAGGAAACUGGGGCUAAUACCGGAUAGGAGCUCCUGCUGCAUGGGGGGGGUUGGAAAGUUUCGGCGGUUGGGGCUGGACUCGCGGCUUAUCAGCUUGUUGGUGGGGUAGUGGCUUACCAAGGCUUUGACGGGUAGCCGGCCUGAGAGGGUGACCGGCCACAUUGGGACUGCGGUACGGCCCAGACUCCUACGGGAGGCAGCAGUGGGGAAUAUUGCACAAUGGGCGGAAGCCUGAUGCAGCAACGCCGCGUGCGGGAUGACGGCCUUCGGGUUGUAAACCGCUUUCGCCUGUGACGAAGCGUGAGUGACGGUAAUGGGUAAGGAAGCACCGGCUAACUACGUG